UUAUCCGGAAUUAUUGGGCGUAAAGGGCUCGUAGGCGGUUCGUCGCGUCCGGUGUGAAAGUCCAUCGCUUAACGGUGGAUCCGCGCCGGGUACGGGCGGGCUUGAGUGCGGUAGGGGAGACUGGAAUUCCCGGUGUAACGGUGGAAUGUGUAGAUAUCGGGAAGAACACCAAUGGCGAAGGCAGGUCUCUGGGCCGUCACUGACGCUGAGGAGCGAAAGCGUGGGGAGCGAACAGGAUUAGAUACCCUGGUAGUCCACGCCGUAAACGGUGGAUGCUGGAUGUGGGGACCAUUCCACGGUCUCCGUGUCGGAGCCACCGCGUUAAGCAUCCCGCCUGGGGAGUACGGCCGCAAGGCUAAAACUCAAAGAAAUUGACGGGGGCCCGCACAAGCGGCGGAGCAUGCGGAUUAAUUCGACGCAACGCGAA
rnacentral:rRNA from 1 species